rnacentral:rRNA from 1 species
UACGGAGGGUGCAAGCGUUAUCCGGAUUCACUGGGUUUAAAGGGUGCGUAGGCGGGUUGGUAAGUCCGUGGUGAAAUCCCCAAGCUUAACUUGGGAACUGCCGUGGAUACUAUCAAUCUUGAAUAUCGUGGAGGUAAGCGGAAUAUGUCAUGUAGCGGUGAAAUGCUUAGAUAUGACAUAGAACACCAGUUGCGUAGGCAGCUUACUACACGAUCAUUGACGCUGAGACACGAAAGCCAAGGGAGCAAACAGG